GCACAAGCGGUGGAUGAUGUGGUUUAAUUCGAUGCAACGCGAAAACCUUACCCAUCUUUGACAUGGCAGGAAUCCCGAAGAGAUUUGGGAGUGCUCGAAAGAGAACCUGCACACAGGUGCUGCAUGGCUGUCGUCAGCUCGUGUCGUGAGAUGUUGGGUUAAGUCCCGCAACGAGCGCAACCCUUGCCAUUAGUUGCCAUCAUUUGGUUGGGCACUCUAAUGAGACUGCCGGUGACAAACCGGAGGAAGGUGGGGAUGACGUCAAGUCCUCAUGGCCCUUAUGGGUAGGGCUUCACACGUCAUACAAUGGUCGGUACAGAGGGUUGCCAACCCGCGAGGGGGAGCUAAUCCCACAAAGCCGAUCGUAGUCCGGAUCGCAGUCUGCAACUCGACUGCGUGAAGUCGGAAUCGCUAGUAGUCGUGGAUCAGCAUGUCACGGUGAAUACGUUCCCGGGUCUU
rnacentral:rRNA from 1 species